ACUCAAAGGAAUAGACGGGGGCCCGCACAAGCGGUGGAGUAUGUGGUUUAAUUCGACGCAACGCGAAAAACCUUACCUGGGCUUGAACUGCUAAUGGUAAAAACCGGAAACGGCAAUGACCCGCAAGGGAGUUAGCAGAGGUGCUGCAUGGCUGUCGUCAGCUCGUGUCGUGAGAUGUUGGGUUAAGUCCCGCAACGAGCGCAACCCUUAUCCCAUGUUACCCGUAGCAAUACGGGGUCUCUGAGGAAACUGCCAUUGAUAAAAUGGAGGAAGGUGGGGACGACGUCAAGUCAUCAUGGCCUUUAUGUCCAGGGCUACACACGUACUACAAUGGCCGGUACAGAGGGCAGCGAGACCGUAAGGUGGAGCAAAUCCCUAAAAGCCGGCCUCAGUUCAGAUUGUGGGCUGCAAUUCGCCCACAUGAAGUAGGAAUCGCUAGUAAUCGCAGAUCAGCAGGCUGCGGUGAAUACGUUCCCGGGCCUUGUACACACCGCCCGU
rnacentral:rRNA from 1 species